UUCAUUUCACUGUGCUCUCCUCACCCGCCGCCGACCGACGCCGAGUGUACGCCUUCCCGUCUUCCCCAUCGCAAGCCGCCCGCGGCCACCGCCUCCCCCUCUUCCCCAUCGUAAGCCGCCGGCGGCCGAUGCCUUCUCCUCUACCCAUCGCUAGGCAUCGACGCCUUCCCCUCUUCCCCAUCUCAAUUGUCCCCUUCCCCUUAUUUACCCCCUCCCAAAUAGAGCGUUAGUCGUCGGCGGUCUGUCUCAUCCCGUCCAUGCGAGUACUCUGACGUUCUGCUUCCAUGGCGAUUAAGGUUUUCACCAUCUUACUGGCGCUUUUCCUCCUCACAACGGCCAUCCUUCAAGUUGAAUGUCAGUCACAUGAGGAUGUAACUGCAGCUGGAGUUAUUUAAGCAAGUGACCUUGGCAUAGUUGGUGAUGAUACCCAAGUUUUUAGUGAUGUUCCUCUAGGUUCGGCCACUGGGGUGGAUACUGCUUGCGUGUUCCCAAAAAAUGUUGUCAUGCAGGAGUUCUAUAAUGCAUCAGUGCCUGUUUCUGCUCAAGCUACCUUCCCUUAUUUAUUUGCUGUCAGCAAAUACCUGCAGCCUGACUCCUUUGAUUUAGUGGCAUCAAUAGUCUUUGAGAUUGAUUCGCAUCGAUAUCAGAAUGUUUUCUAUAAUGGUACUGAUCCGGUGGUAAGGUAGGGUCUCGACCCACAGGAGGUCAGCGUCACGUGGAAGGUCAAAGUCAAGGCGCGGUCAAUGCCCCCAGGCUAGCGUCCGGCCGGACGACCCCAUUUGCCGAUCGGACUAGGGAAUGGCCGGUCCGACGUUAUUAUAGCUCGGUCUCGCAUCGAGCUUCCGGUGCUCAAAAUUAUUACCAAAGCAUGCGCGGACCGACAAGUCAUUUGCUAAGCAGUUGGGCAUAUGUCGGACGGACAUCCGGAUUGGCCACAUAUCAGAUCACAACCAUCAAAGCGUGAAUCCGACCCAGUAAACCCGGACAAUCGAAGUAGCCGAACGGUCAUCCUGCUCGACCCAGACAACAGAAUUAGCUGAGCGGCCCACCCGCUCAACCCACUAGCAGACAGAGGCAUGAUCAACUGGUAACCUCCUCGAGACCCGUGUCGCAGACAGAUAGCAUGGCCGACGGCAUGAUCAGGCAGAGAAUCGUACGACGAAAGCUUCACUGUCUUGUCAGGAUAUGCUCGGGCUGUUGAUGUAUGGUGUCAGAUACACUUUUUUGACACGCCCUAUCAGGGAGAGCUUUGAGAUGCGUGCGCAUCUCGAGGAGCGUGCACGUGCACCCUCUGAGAGCUCUAUAUAUAGGAUCCCAAGUUUCGACGGAGGCUAGUAUCAUUGGAGGUCCACGCACGAUCAACAGGAACGUCACAUCUCUAGUAUUCGUCACCUAAACUUUCAGAUAGGAUCAGAUCAGGUACAAUUGAAGUUAUUGAAGCUGGAGGUUUUAUAAGGAUUGACUCUCUGUUUCUUGGAACCUUUGGAGUUGCUCUUCUUGUUCACUCGGGUUUGUGGGCAUACGAUCUAAUUCAACAAUUUUCAUACGUACUGUACUGAUUUGCUAAUCCAAUGACAAUCUUAA